UCGUCCUCUUCCUAUUGCUCUCUGGUUUUCUUUUAUCAGUUUAACAUUUAUGUUUAGAAAGUCAUUUGACUCAGAACAAGAAGAAUCAAGCACUUAUGAGUCAUUACGAUGGCGAUUUGGUUUCUUCUUAGGAAGGAUAUGGAAGUUUAUGAGAGAGAUACGAGAAGAUACAACAUUAAUCUCAAAUAUGGAGGAAGAGUAGAAGUCUGAGGAAGUCUUCAUGCCACCAAGGAAGAACAAAAAGAAAAGAAAGAUGAAGAGCCUCAAUUGAAGAAAUUUUCAUGACCAAUUAUGUUUAUCUUUUUUAGUCCUUUUUCUCUACAAAUUUAUCUUCAAGUUUCUUUCUAUUAUUUUUCUUUUUCGUUAGAUUGUAUUGUCACAGAAAAAGAAAUUAUUAAUAAAAAUAUUUUUUGUUUAAAGAAA